rnacentral:sRNA from 1 species
AAGUGAUUUAAAUUAGUAUCAUUUAAUUUUCUGAAACAAAUUAUGUGAUGUAAAUGAGUUUCUUUUUUUGUAGUGAGGAUUCUUGUUAAUCAAGAGUACCAUUGCUCUAGAAGCAUCUCUCUUCUCUUUUUCAACCUUGACCUCAUAUAUCUCAAAGACAUAAAGCUUUUUGAGGAGUCCAAGCAAGGAAGUGACUAGCAGGAUUCGCAUAUGAGCAAUAUCAACUCCGUUUGCUUGUUGAUGAAUAAAGUCUUUCUUGACAAACUCUCUCUCAAAAUUGAUAAACUCAUGUAUCUCUUCAUUUGUUAACAUAAAAAACAGUAAUAUUUUACAUUAAUAAAUUUUACAUUAACGAUUAUGAAAACUGAUAAUAAUACAAAAAAUAUGUCAACGAUUUAUAUUAUAUGAGAUUUAUA